GAUGGACAUACAUCAUGCUAUUCAGUCGACAAAUGGCAACAGAAUUUAAAAACCUAUUCAGACCGCUCCACUAAUUUCUCACUGGCGGUUUAUUCCUGUGGAGGAUAACUGAGGACCUAAGGCGUUACCUUUGCAUAAUCAAAGAUGGCUUCUUCUGACCAAUAGUUGGCCUUCCUCAUAGGUGGAAGAUAACAUAUUGGAUGUAUAUAAGCAUUAGUUGAAACUAGUCGAUCAAGUGAUCAAGUCCAGUGGGUGACAGAACAGUUAGCAAAUCAAGAAUUGAGUCUCUUGCUUGACCAAACGCUCAAUCUGCUCGGUUGGAGUAUCUACCUUGUUUGAAAGAAGCUUAGCUUGGAGUUGGAGUCACUGAAUUAAGGUUGAAGUUGUUUGAUUGAAUGUGUAUCCUACAUAUUCUUGGUCAGAUCAUCUUAAAGCUUAUUUUAAACAUGCUAAAUUCAUACACAAUAGGAUCGUUGUUAUCACUGCUAAUAUGGCCAGAGCAAAGUUUGGCUACAUAGUCAGCUACAGAGCUGCCUGAAGAUGAUUUUUCUUAAAUUCUAAUUAGUCUGUUCGAUGCGUCUCACCUGUUUUUCAUUCAUGUAACUAGACAUACUAAAAUUCAGUUAGCUUCUUAUAUUUAAAAGUUCUGACCAAGUUCAUGAUUAAGUCAGUGAAGAAACUGUAUGACCAUCUUGGAUCCUGACAUUUGAAACGGACAGGCUAACUGACUGCAGUGAUUGUCUAAUGGUUGCCAUG